GCCGCCCGGCAGGGAGGGGCCUGAUCUGCUGGAGUCCAGGGAUGCUUUGGGUGUGAAUGAGAGUCCCACCUUAGGCCCCUCUCACUGGGUUGGGCACACACCUGGGGGACACACCUGCGCGCCUGAUACCUGCCUGACCUGCGGCAAUAGGACCCGAACUGCCCCAGGCCCAGGGUCUAUGAAGACAAUCCAAAAUGAAUCGAUGCCUGUGUUCCUCGUAUUUUAUCCCAGAGACAAAGAGCAUGGCUGGCCCUCCCCAGGCGGCCCGGUGUUUCGUUGGUUUGAGUCCUGGGCGCGGACAUGGCACUGCUCAUCAAGCCACGCUGAGGAAGCGUCCCACAUGCCACAACUAGAAGGACACACAACAAAGAAUAUACAACUAUGUACUGGGGGGCUUUGGGG
rnacentral:lncRNA from 1 species